UACGUAGGGUGCGAGCGUUGUCCGGAAUUAUUGGGCGUAAAGAGCUCGUAGGCGGUUUGUCGCGUCGGCCGUGAAAACUUGGGGCUUAACCCCGAGCCUGCGGUCGAUACGGGCAGACUUGAGUUCGGCAGGGGAGACUGGAAUUCCUGGUGUAGCGGUGAAAUGCGCAGAUAUCAGGAGGAACACCGGUGGCUAAGGCGGGUCUCUGGGCCGAUACUGACGCUGAGGAGCGAAAGCGUGGGGAGCGAACAGG
rnacentral:rRNA from 1 species